rnacentral:rRNA from 1 species
CCUACGGGAGGCAGCAGUGAGGGAUAUUGCGCAAUGGGCGAAAGCCUGACGCAGCGACGCCGCGUGGGCGAGGAAGGCCUUCGGGUUGUAAAGCCCUUUUGGCAGGGAAGAGCAAGGACUGUACCUGCAGAACAAGUCACGGCUAACUACGUGCCAGCAGCCGCGGUAAAACGUAGGUGGCGAGCGUUAUCCGGAUUCACUGGGCGUAAAGCGCUUGCAGGCGGUCUGAUAAGUUGGACGUGAAAGCCCUGAGCUUAACUUGGGGAGGCCGUUCAAUACUGUCAGGCUAGAGGGAGGCAGAGGAGAGUGGAAUUCCCGGUGUAGCGGUAAAAUGCAUAGAUAUCGGGAGGAACACCAGUGGCGAAGGCGACUCUCUGGGCCUACCCUGACGCUCAGAAGCGAAAGCCAGGGGAGCAAACAGGAUUAGAUCCCCCUGUAGU